UGGGGAAUUUUGGACAAUGGGCGCAAGCCUGAUCCAGCCAUGCCGCGUGCGGGAAGAAGGCCUUCGGGUUGUAAACCGCUUUGUCAGGGAAGAAAUCUUCUGAGUUAAUACCUCGGGAGGAUGACGGUACCUGAAGAAUAAGCACCGGCUAACUACGUGCCAGCAGCCGCGGUAAUACGUAGGGUGCAAGCGUUAAUCGGAAUACUGGGCGUAAAGCGUGCGCAGGCGGUUUUGUAAGACAGAGGGUGAAAUCCCCGGGCUCAACCUGGGAACUGCCUUUGUGACUGCAAGGCUUGAGUGCGGCAGAGGGGGGAUGGAAUUCCGCGUGUAGCAGUGAAAUGCGUAGAUAUGCGGAGGAACACCGAUGGCGAAGGCAAUCCCCUGGGCCUGCANUGACGCUCAUGCACGAAAGCGU
rnacentral:rRNA from 1 species